UGAGGCCCCGUAAUCGGAAUGAGUACACUUUAAAUCCUUUAACAAGGAUCCAUUGGAGGGCAAGUCUGGUGCCAGCAGCCGCGGUAAUUCCAGCUCCAAUAGCGUAUAUUAAAGUUGUUGCGGUUAAAAAGCUCGUAGUUGGUUCUGCGUGCCGCGCUGUCGGUUCGCCGCCUGUCGGUGUAACUGGCAUGUUCGCGGCAUGUCCUGUCGGUGGUGAACAGGGUCCACGAUGCUGCAUUAGGCUUUUAAAGGCCGAUGUUAGCGUCGUGUGUACUUUUGUUGGCCGAUCUCUCCUACUUCGGUGCUCUUAAACGAGUGUCGAGGUAGGCCGACACGUUCACUUUGAACAAAUUAGAGUGCUUAAAGCAGGCUGAAAUAUCUGCCUGAAUAGUGGUGCAUGGAAUGAUAAAACAGGACCUCGGUUCUAUUUUGUUGGUUUUAGGAAUAUGAGGUAAUGAUCAAUGUGGACUGGCGGGGGCAUUCGUAUUGCGACGUUAGAGGUGAAAUUCUUGGAUCGUCGCAAGACGCACUAGAGCGAAAGCAUUUGCCAAGUAUGUCUUAAUUGAUCAAGAACGAAAGUUAGAGGUUCGAAGGCGAUUAGAUACCGCCCUAGUUCUAACCAUAAACGAUGCCAGCCAGCGAUCCGCCGAUGUUCCUUUAAUGACUCGGCGGGGAGCUUCUACCCGGGAAACCAAAGCUUUUGGGUUCCGGGGGAAGUAUGGUUGCAAAGCUGAAACUUAAAGGAAUUGACG
rnacentral:rRNA from 1 species